rnacentral:lncRNA from 1 species
UUUUUUUUUUUUUUUUGGUCUUUUUAGGACCGCACCCACAGCACAUGGAGGUUCCCAGGCUAGGGGUCUAAUUGGAGCUGUAGCCGCCUGCCUACACCAGAGCCACAGAAACGCGGGAUCUGAGCCACGUCUGUGACCUACACCUCAACUCACGGCAACACCGGAUCCUUAACCCACUGAGCGAGGCCAGGGAUCGAACCUGCAACCUCAUGGUUCUUAGAUUCAUUUCCACUGCACCAAGAUGGGAACUCCCUGGUUUGUUUUUUUUUUAAAUAGUGUUCUUUCGACCCAUCAGAUUGGUAGGUAGGUGAUUUAUAUUAGUUAUACGCAGGCCUAGCAGGAAUGUGGAAACUUAGCAGCCUCAGUGGCUGUCAGUGGGAAGGUAAAUUGAACAGGCAUUUUAGAGAGCUGACUAUGUGACAGCUGUUAGGAUGGAUGCACUCUGACCUAAUAAUUGAUUUCUUAAAAAUUAGCCAAAGAAGAUUCCUGGAUAAAUAAAGUGCUGUUUGCAAUUUUGAAAAAAAAAAAGGAUAUAUCCUACCUGUUCUUAAAAAUCAAAUUGAUUAAAUAAAUUAGGGGACCUCCACACGGUAGAAUUAUAGGCUACCAUUAUGAAGGAUGAGGUGAUCUCGAAAUGACUAAUGUGGAAAUGCUCGUGAUAUGCUGUCAAAUGAAAACCCAGAUUAAAAAAUAAUAUGAUUGAUGUGGUCACAUUUUUACUAGAAUAUGCAUAAUUAAUACACAGUAUGACAUAGGAAUAUCAAGACAGAGAUGAAAUUAUCUUCAAGAUUAAAUGAUCAGUUGUUAGUUCAAGAGGUGGGUGUAUCUGAAGACAUUCUGCUCUUUUGUUCUUUGUUUGUUUGUUUGUUUUGUUUUGGUCUUUUCAGGGCCACACCCACAGCAUGUGGACGUUCCCAGAAAUAGCAAAAAAAAACAAAAAAAAGAAAGAAAGAGGCUACAGGUAAACCCAGCUGGGGAUGCGAGACGAACUGGCAGCGCUAACGUUAGGAAAACCCCACCAAACCGGGAUGUGUCGGUCACCUUGGCAGGAGGGAGAGAGAUGGUUUGAGAACCUAGAGGAGCUUCCCAAACCCUAUUCUUCAGCAAGAGAACGAUCCGCUAGUUAGCAAGAAAGAUGCAUCCCAAUCCCAGCCCUGCUCUUAAAUAGCUUUGGGAUGUUC